CCCGCACAAGCGGCGGAGCAUGCGGAUUAAUUCGAUGCAACGCGAAGAACCUUACCAAGGCUUGACAUACACCGGUAACGCCCAGAGAUGGGUGCCCCUUUGUGGUCGGUGUACAGGUGGUGCAUGGUUGUCGUCAGCUCGUGUCGUGAGAUGUUGGGUUAAGUCCCGCAACGAGCGCAACCCUCGUCCUAUGUUGCCAGCGGGUCAUGCCGGGGACUCAUGGGAGACUGCCGGGGUCAACUCGGAGGAAGUGGGGAUGACGUCAAAUCAUCAUGCCCCUUAUGUCUUGGGCUUCACGCAUGCUACAAUGGCCGGUACAAAGGGCUGCGAUACCGCGAGGUGGAGCGAAUCCCAGAAAGCCGGUCUCAGUUCGGAUUGGGGUCUGCAACUCGACCCCAUGAAGUCGGAGUCGCUAGUAAUCGCAGAUCAGCAACGCUGCGGUGAAUACGUUCCCGGGCCUU
rnacentral:rRNA from 1 species